rnacentral:rRNA from 1 species
CCCUUAGACGUUCUGGGCCGCACGCGCGCUACACUGACCAGUGCAACAAGCAUCCGUCCUUGGCCGACAGGCCCGGGCAAUCUUUGAACGCUGGUCGUGAUGGGGAUAGACUUUUGCAAUUUUUGGUCUUCAACGAGGAAUUCCUAGUAAGCGCAAGUCAUCAGCUUGCGUUGAUUACGUCCCUGCCCUUUGUACACACCGCCCGUCGCACCUACCGAUUGAAUGGUCCGGUGAAGCCUCGGGAUUGUGGCUGGUUUCCUUUAUUGGAGGUCGGUCGCGAGAACUUGUCUAAACCUUAUCAUUUAGAGGAAGGUGAAGUCGUAACA